CUAAUUCCCAAACAGUGUUUAAAUCAUCUCUCCAUAAUCAUAUUAGUAGAUCAUCCCUAUGUUACUCUCCUUCUCGCCCAACAACUAUUUAGAUUAUUCUAGUCAGAUUUUACAUGGAUCUCUUAGAGGAUCUGUUACGCAUUCUUAUUUUUCUACUCUUGUUGAACCGUAUAUCUCGUUAAAGAAAAAUCCAGAUAACACUGAAUAUAUAGUUAUAAUCAAGGAUCGAGUUUACAUGUUAUGUAAGAGCAAUAUGAUAGCGAGGCGGAACGUCUUAUAUGUUAUAUAGAUAUCAUAAAUAGUUUUUUCGAGGUAUCAAAGUGAGGAUAGGUAAGUACAAAAAAGAACUACAGCAAAGUCCACUUAGAUUUGAACAUAUAUAAGUGUUCCCAUCCCUUACAUCACUUAUUGCUAUCACCACUCAAUCUCUAUACUCUAGAUAAUAUAGGGCCUACCUUCCCGUCUUCAAUCAUAUAAUAAUAUAAAUUUGUCUAGCAACAUUUUAUAUAUGCCUUUCUUGUGCAUUGAGCUAGCUGUAUUAUUUAAGAGAUUCUGUUACAUAGACAAUUGAAAUGUAAUUUGAUUUAUAAGGUGGCUUUUUUGAAAGGGGGUAGAUAAUGUCCACCUUCUGGCAAUUAUAAUUUUAGCAGCGACCAGACAAUGUGAUACAAUGUGAAAAUACUUUAUUUUCCUAUGCAGAAAGGUCUAUUCAUGUUUUCUGCCCUGGCGUUCGGUAGAUUCUCGGAUUUACUGAAUGAACUCAUAUAACCCAGAUAGCUAUGCCAUGCAGCCUAUUCAUGUAAUAAAAGACUUUGGCUCCAUGGCAAUUGAACUGUAUGUGGGUGUGGUCUGAGCGCCAUUCAGUAUUAAUGUGCGCUCAGCCCUAAGCUAUCUGGGCAUAUGUUGCAUGUCUGUAUUUUAUGUCAUAAAUGUAACCGUGUGUAUUUUAUUGUAUUUUACUGCCUUUUUACUGCCAUGUGCUUAAUGGAGUUUUGCCUCUGUCCUUGGAGAUAAUUGGAUUACUUCCCAAUUAUCUCCAGGAUAGAAGACUCUGUGGAACUGGUUUUGGGCAGAAAAGCCAUGCUUCCUUUGGUCACAAAGGACUACGAUCUAUCUUUUGAACCACUGGACCAAUUUGGAUGAUUUAUGUUUGUAUUGAUAUAUGACAUAUGUUUGUAUUUGGAGUAUGCUGAUUCUGAAAAUGUAAGUUUUAUGUGAAUGUGAUGUAUACUUUUAAAGUUAUGAAUAAUGUGGAAAAACUGUAUUUCUCUGGCUGUUAUAAUUACAUUACCCAUUGAGUAAGGUAAUUGUAUCACAGGCAGAGGGGAGGAUUUUGUGUGGGAGUGUCUGAGUGUAUUGUAUUUGUUUAUUGGUUGGUUUCCAAAACCCUGUGGGUGGUACUAAUGUGUAUAUAAGAAAAAUAAACCCACAGUUCUGUCUGUUCACUGCUUUGUCUCAUUCUUGGGGGCAUUUAUUGUAUGCUGUUCCAGUUUGACUGCGAGGAGUGUAAACCUAUUUGUAUGUUUUUUCCUAUUCGGCUGUUUACGGCAUUCAUAUGGUUUCCUGUUCAGCGGAUUGGUGUUCUGCAGUAGCUGUGCCUGUGUCUUUGGAAGGGAAGAUCUACUAAAUAGCGGUUUAACCCUUUUAUGCCUGGGGGUGCCAUUACAGUUGUUUAGUGAAUAAGUGAGUGUGUUGGAUCUUGUAUGAUAUAUAUAUAAUGUAAAUUACAGAUGUUUACCCAAAAAAAUUUAAAAAUAAUAAUUUGAAAGCAUUUUUGGGGUAAACACCUGUAAUAUACAGCAUUUAACUUCA
rnacentral:lncRNA from 1 species